rnacentral:misc_RNA from 1 species
UUUCCGUAGGUGAACCUGCGGAAGGAUCAUUAUCGAGUUUUGACUGGGUUGUAGCUGGCCUUCCGAAGCAUGUGCUCGCCCUGCGCAUCCACUCUACACCUGUGCACUUACUGUGGGUAUCAGAGCGUGAAGCGUGCGCUUUUACCGGAGCUUGUGAAGCGUGUCUGUGCCUGCGUUAAUCACAAACACUAUAAAGUAUCAGAAUGUGUAUUACGAUGUAAAGAAUGUAUAUACAACUUUCAGCAACGGAUCUCUUGGCUCUC